GCCUCUGGCAUCGUAGAGACAUCCGAUAAAAUUGGAACGAUACAGAAAAGAUUAGCUUGGCUCCUAUACAAGGUUGACGCGCCUGCCUCUUCGUCUCUU